GCACGGAGACAAAGAAACCGAAAGCAAUUUAACGGGUACCGCCUUUCGGUGAUAAGUCCCUCAACAUUGUUGUUACUUCCUUAUUGCAGACAGCACAGACGGGGGAUUUUUGUUUCUGGAUGUACCUGUUUUUUAAACAUCUGCAGUCAUCAGUUUUCUUUAGUUUCUAGCGUUAAGAGCCCUGAUAUCACUGUUCCCCGGCUGGUUUCGAAGUUCCAUAAAUAAUUAGGUCGCUGACAUUACUGGGACAGUAAAAAAAGCCACCGACUUACGAGACUCAUCGCUAAAAACGGAUUCACAUCAGAAGUCCACCAUGAUACAUGGCAAGUCCAGUUUGAAACGGGGUGGAAGAAAGGAGCAAAUAUUUACUCCAGAUCAGCAAGUUCGAGCAGACCUCAUACUGAAGCUGCGCAGAAUUGGAGAUGCUUUGGACUGGAAGCAAAAGAUAUUAAAUAUUAUUUAUAAGCUGAUGUCGCCUGGGACUUGAGCAUAGAGUAGUAUGAAUAUUUUUGGGGAAGAAAAACAGAAAUAAAAAAAAGGUUACUAUGUCUUCUACUCAGAUUCUGCUUCUAAAAAGGAGAAAAAAAAAGAAACUGCACUGGUUGGUAACAUGAAGAAGAAUGUUAGCUGAGAAAAGAGACCUGUAUGUGGUCAUAAAGUAACAGAGAUGUAUGACUUACUGCCAGUCCCCUGCUGUGAAACAAAGACGUCAGAAAACGGGUGAUCCACUAUGGAAAACAUAAACAACUUCAGCUCUUUAACAUAUGGGCUGAAUGGUUAGUCUGUUAACUGCACUCCCAGAUUAGUGUCAUUGGCUUCCUGGUACAGCCUAUGCUGAGCUGAAUUCUGUUUCUUCAUCCCUCUAGGUUUAGCAAUCUGUGUUAUGAUAACUGCAGUACUUUGUAACGUGGACUGUUACAAUAAUCACUGUAUAAGUUAAGUAUUUGUUUAUUUAAUGUUAAACACAUGCUUUGAUAUUUGCAGUGGCAAUGUAAUUACAGUUAGUCUUUGCUUAGUUGCGGUUGUUUAACAGACUAAGUGACUUCCUAGGCCAGAAACUGCCACUGACUACCAAAUGAAUGAUAACUUUGUACUGUAUUUAUCGAACCAUGGUAGUGCUAAAGAGGUUACUUCAGCUCUGGAUUGGAACCAGCAGGCGGUCUUAGGUCAGCAACAAUUUCUCUGAAAAAGAUGUUAACUCUAUAAAUGUAGUAACAUGGCUGGUAAUAUGAUACAAGCAAGCAUAUUCGUAAUAAAUUUGUGAAAAGAUGCACAUUGACUGUUAACUUAGAUAAAAGUUGUUAUUUUGUUUUUAAAAAUGGUCUUCUUCAGGGUCAAUGAUAGUUUGUUAAAUAACAGUUUUGGCCCUGAAAGCAUGGUAACAUGGUUGUUACUCUGCUUUUGUAAUACUUAUGUCAGAUAAUGUAAUGGACAUACUAUUUAUACAUUUGUGAAGAUGUACUUGUUGACAAAUAACUCAAAACAAAUGUUUUUUUUCCAUUGAAAA